GGUUUCGCUAGUCCCGAGCCGGACGCAAUGAACGCACUACGUACCGCUUUUCAGGGCCCACGCGUUCCUUUGCUGCAUUCGGCACGUUCACUGAAGUGACGUGCCGUUGAGAGCGCGGCAGAACGGGCGGAAAUCGCUUUCUAAAUCACCCCCGCGGACACGCCCCCAUCGCUUCCCGGAGCGCCGGGUGAGGAGGUUACCAGAGGAGAGAACCGGCGAGAGUGACGUCACUGGCGGGGACCGAGCUGCCGGACCGGCGUGCAGCUGAAAUCAAGAGAUGACUGGCCCUGUUCAAGGAAAGAAGACGUCGAGCGGACGGGUAGGAGUGUCCCGAACAUUAAGAGCCGGCCUACUAUUCCCAGUUAGCAGCAUCCGCCACCGAAUGCGACAUGGAUUCAGCGCCCACCGCAUCGGACCGUGUGCGCCAGUCUAUAUGGCGGCGGUUUUACAACAUUUAACGGCUGAUUUCAUCAAGAAAGCAGGACACAUGGCUGAGUGCGACAGCAAGAGCCAUAUCAAGUCGCGUCAUCUGCAGCAAGCAGUGCGUAACGACGAGGACCUGAGAAAAUUACUGGAUAGUAUAACCUUUCCGUAGAUGAACAAGAAAUCGAACUGAUGGUACAGCCCGUAUGACUUGUAAUGUAUAAGAACGUUACCAUUGUCGACGGCGGUGCGUGACGCAACAUUCAGCAGGAACUUAGAGAAGAACCGUGCCAGCUACGAAAAUUAAAAAUGUUGCACCAAGCUUUUCGCCUUUA